CAGGGUUAUGAGAGUGAAGCUAGAAGAGUUAUGGCUCUUUAUAACAUCAGUACCCUCUUAAGUGGAGACUGCACUUAAGCACCUCUUGUAUACCCUGCCUCUUAUGUCUAACCCAUCAUUCAUGGCCACAUACGUACACCAGGAAUAACUACAUAAAGGAAGUCUUCACUUGAAGAAAUCUUCUACAGGGAAGGGAGAGCUUCUAAUUAAUUUGCCUCCUCCCUGCAUUAGGCCUACUGGACAAUACAAGGCUUCAGUUAAUUUCUGUGGAGCCAUAUUGAGAGACAACUGGUAUUCUUCCUGACUUGUGUGCCGCCCAUCCUUCAUCCAGCUGCCCAUACCAGCUCCUCCUGAUGACCUGGUUGCAACACUCACAUCGUCUUCGGAAUCUUCAUAACACGUGGAGAACAGUGAGGAUUGGUGCGAGGGGGAUGAGCAUGGGGACGGCGAGAAUGGGCAUGAGUGUGCGAAGCAGGGCGUGUAUCAGGAGAAGAAUCGGAUGAUGAUGAAGCAGAGCGACGCUGGCGGGUGCGGCCC